CUAGCUUUUGUUUCAAGUUUGACGCUACCCUGUAUACAAAUCUUGGUCUCUCUGGUAGUAUAGAGUAUAACAUGGGGUCAUUUCUUAGCAUGGGCCAAUGUUUAUUUACUAUCUUUUUUAUUUUAUGGCUUUCCUGAUUGAAAUUAGAGAUAAAGGGCAACAUAUUAUGCUCAUUUCUCACUUUAGAUUUAUAUUUCAAAAGGGAGGAUCUUUCCAUACUUUCUACUUCUUUUAUAGUAUUUAUCAACAGAUUAUCCUCAUAUCCCUUUUCGACAAAUUGGUUCUUAACCCUAGUGGCUUGAGUUUCAAAAGUGCUUGUAUCAGUGCAGUUUCUACGAAUUCUCAUU